GAUGAAGAACGUAGCGAAAUGCGAUAAGUAAUGUGAAUUGCAGAAUUCAGUGAAUCAUCGAAUCUUUGAACGCACAUUGCGCCCGCCAGUAUUCUGGCGGGCAUGCCUGUCCGAGCGUCAUUUCAACCCUCGAACCCCUCCGGGGGGUCGGCGUUGGGGAUCGGCCCUCCCUUAGCGGGUGGCCGUCUCCGAAAUACAGUGGCGGUCUCGCCGCAGCCUCUCUUGCGCAGUAGUUUGCACACUCGCAUCGGGAGCGCGGCGCGUCCACAGCCGUUAAACACCCAACUUCUGAAAUGUUGACCUCGGAUCAGGUAGGAAUACCCGCUGAACUUAAGCAUAUCAAUAAGCGGAGGA
rnacentral:misc_RNA from 1 species